GCGCCCGUAGCUCAGGCGGAUAGAGCAACGGAUUUCUAAUCCGUAGGUCGCAGGUUCGAGUCCUGCCGGGCGUG
rnacentral:tRNA from 1 species